AUUGAACGCUGGCGGCAGGCCUAACACAUGCAAGUCGAGCGGUAGAGAGGUGCUUGCAUCUCUUGAGAGCGGCGGACGGGUGAGUAAUGCCUAGGAAUCUGCCUAGUGUGGGGGAUAACGUUCGGAAACGGACGCUAAUACCGCAUACGUCCUACGGGAGAAAGCGGGGGAUCUUCGGACCUCGCGCCAUUAGAUGAGCCUAGGUCGGAUUAGCUAGUUGGUGAGGUAAUGGCUCACCAAGGCGACGAUCCGUAACUGGUCUGAGAGGAUGAUCAGUCACACUGGAACUGAGACACGGUCCAGACUCCUACGGGAGGCAGCAGUGGGGAAUAUUGGACAAUGGGCGAAAGCCUGAUCCAGCCAUGCCGCGUGUGUGAAGAAGGUCUUCGGAUUGUAAAG
rnacentral:rRNA from 1 species